rnacentral:lncRNA from 1 species
GAACUACCAAGGGCAGCCGGCACCCUGAGAAAAAAACCCCAACGAGGAUACGAACUGGAAAAAAGGGCAAGGAAAGUCCAUAUAAAUAGACACAAAAAAGGAUAACACUGGAAGCAGGCAGUAAGAAUAUAUAUUUAAAAAGUUAAAAGUUAGUUACAGACAGCCGCGUUCCUGAAGAGCCCCUGCAGGUAAACCUCUCGUUUAUAGGGGCUAGGAUUACAGUACGACGUCAAGACAACACCAUCCUGAUUUAAUGUCAUUGUAUGUUACUACUAGUUUGUAUGCGUCAUUUUAUCAAAAAGGUCUUUUAUUGUUACAAUAUACAUUCAUUGAAUACAACCACGGAAAAAAAUGCACGAAACAGGUACAGCACACGUCACGUCAUUGGAGGUGUGCCGAUGGAGGAUUGGAAGUCCAAGAUCCAGGAGUUGAUCCGGGUCCCAACAUUUUCUGAGGAAAGAUUAGAAUACGAAGGCUUUAUCUGCACAAAACGUCUGAGGUAGUAUUCUUUUUCAGUAUCAGA